UGCAGAUGAUGUGACAGAAUAUUUGCUAUCAGAUGAGUGGUGAUGACACUAGAACCACCAAGAUCGCUGAUGCA
rnacentral:snoRNA from 7 species